rnacentral:tRNA from 1 species
GGGGCGAUAGCUCAAUCGGUCAGAGCGCCGGACUCAUAAUCCGUUGGUUCCGGGUUCAAGCCCCGGUCGCCCCACCA